UGUGCCUUGCUUAGGACUCAUUCUGCAGUCAGUGAAAAUACACACAUUGACUUUAAUUGAAACCUAUUGACUCCUUUGCCGUUCCGGAGCAGAUGCGCUGCCAUUCCGCAGUUGGUGGAAAUCAGUGGUAAGGCAAAUGUCAUA